AGUGAACGCUGGCGGUAGGCCUAACACAUGCAAGUCGAACGGCAGCACAGUAAGAGCUUGCUCUUACGGGUGGCGAGUGGCGGACGGGUGAGGAAUACAUCGGAAUCUACUUUUUCGUGGGGGAUAACGUAGGGAAACUUACGCUAAUACCGCAUACGACCUACGGGUGAAAGCAGGGGAUCUUCGGACCUUGCGCGAUUGAAUGAGCCGAUGUCGGAUUAGCUAGUUGGCGGGGUAAAGGCCCACCAAGGCGACGAUCCGUAGCUGGUCUGAGAGGAUGAUCAGCCACACUGGAACUGAGACACGGUCCAGACUCCUGCGGGAGGCAGCAGUGGGGAAUAUUGGACCAUGGGCGCAAGCCUGAUCCAGCCAUACCGCGUGGGUGAAGAAGGCCUUCGGGUUGUAAAGCCCUUUUGUUGGGAAAGAAAAGCAGCAGGUUAAUACCCCGCUGUUCUGACGGUACCCAAAGAAUAAGCACCGGCUAACUUCGUG
rnacentral:rRNA from 1 species